CCCCCAGUAAAUCCAUCCCUGUUUGUAUAUUCAGUGUAACACCUCUGUGUAACAUUAUUCUGCAGUGUAUAAACAUUAUUCAUGUAUGAUUAUUCAUAUGUCAUCUGUGACUCAAUUUCCAUUUUAGUAAAUGACAUACUUUUUUGUAGUUUCCUAGCAGAAAGAUCAGGCUGACUCCUUCAAAGAAGUCACCAGUGAAAAAACAUAAAUGGACCUUUGAGGAAAAUAAAAGCUUUGAUCUAGUUAUGGAAAAAUUUUGUCCGUAAUAAAAUAUAAUAACAAGAAUUUACAAUAUCCUAGUAAUCUAUGUCACUGUUAUAAUCGUAGGGAUCCAUAAUAAAAUAAAAUAACAACAAUUUACAAUAUACUUCUUGUGUGUGUUGGUGUUAUGUAUUAAGGUGAAAUGAUGUUUGUGAUGUUACUCUGAGUGUGCAUCCACACUGAGCCGAGCUCAGUUGGUAGAGGAUUGGACUAAUAUCCCAAAGAUUGCAGGUUCGAUUCCCACCGUGGUCAGGCAAACUUUUCAGCUUGCCCGAUGUUCAUGCACACUCAGAAUAACAUCACAAACAUCAAUUUACAAUGUAGGGAUCCAUAAUAAAAUAAAUAUGUAGGGUUCCAUAAUAAAAUAAAAUAAUUUACAAUAUUCUAGUAAUCUAUAUGUCACUGUUAUAAUUGUUUCUUGGAUCAUCUCUGUCCCAUGGUCCACUUUUCACAAUCAACAAUGCUGUACUGUAGAGUAAUAUCCACCAAGCACACAUAAUUUAUUGGUUGUAGAUCACAGUUACAUCCAGUUUGCCUGUGUAAAUUUAUUGGUUGUAGAUCACAGUUACAUCCAGUUUGCCCUUGUAAAUUUUUGGUUGUAGAUCACAGUUACAUCCAGUUUGCCCUUGUAAAUGUAUUGGUUGUAGAUCACAGUUACAUCCAGUUUGCCCUUGUAAAUUUAUUGGUGACAGCACACUGUCCAACUCUUCAUUAACAGUAUCUGGAUCUCGAGGUUGAAUUGUUUGAGGUGGGGAUGGCAGAAUAUCGAAAUCCCACAAAAUAACAUUCUCAAAGAUAAGAGAUUGUCCUGUUCCAUCUUGCCCGAGAUCACUGAAGUCAGAGAACUGCAACAUAUGAAAACAAU